GAAGCUGGAAUUGCUAGUAAUGGCAGGUCAGCAUACUGCCGUGAAUACGUUCCCGGGCCUUGUACACACCGCCCGUCACACCAUGAGAGUUGGAAAUACCCGAAGCCUGUGAGCUAACAGUAAUGAGGCAGCAGUCGAAGGUAGAGCCAAUGAUUGGGGUGAAGUCGUAACAAGGUACC
rnacentral:rRNA from 1 species